GUUACUCAGUAGAAGCAUCUUUACAUAAAGGCUACAAUCACCUGGGGCUGCUAAGUGGCCUAAGCAAGGAAGGAGUUGCUUAGGUUGCCUAAGCUAAGUGUAACAUCUACCAUCACAUAAAAUAUACUCAAGACCUCCUCAUCAGUACAAGAGCUAAUAGAGUUCGUGUUCUUUCUCUCCCUUAGACCCAACCAUCAAUAUAAGCUUCCACUUCUGACUGAGGGAAAAGGAAACAAAGAAAAAAAGACAACCAAGGCUGGUGCACAAAGGAGCAAGUUACCGUGUCUAGUUCAGCUUCCAAACUGCAGUUUUUAAUCUGUGGCAAUAAUUCUGCAUACCGGUUUGGACCUGUUGUUAUGUCACUGUGCAUACCUGCAAAUGAUUGACAUCAUGAAAAAAGAAAAGGAUUUCUGCUUGUUCAGUCUUUUCUCCAGUAUUUUCUACCACCAGACUGAAGGUGGCAUGUCAGGAAUGACCAGUGAGUAAAAAUCACCUGCACCUCUAUCUACUUCAACUGAGCCUGCAAUCUGAUACUCAGAUUUGUGCCCACAACUGAACUGUGGGCAAAACUAUUGAUUGGACAUAUGUUUUGAGGUUGUAAAUUGUAUCUGCAAAAAGGUUGUCUGCAAAAUUUGGCCCUCGGUAUUUGCACUUUCCAAAAUUCUUGUUUGUUUGCUAUUUUGAUAAUCUGUUCGGAUAAUUCCUGGGAUGAUGUACCAUGAGAGCCCUUGACACUGAAGAGUCUGUGGAAUUU